rnacentral:tRNA from 1 species
UCCCUGGUGGCCUAGUGGUUAAGGAUCCAGCACUCUCACUGCUGUGGAGCAGGUUCGAUCCCUGGCCCGGGGA